AUUUUUGGUGGUAAACGUCCAUAAACAACCUCGAAUGGAGUUGCUUUGAGAGAGGAGUGGUAGCCGGUAUUAUAACAAUAUUCCACCCAUGAUAACCUUUGGAACCAACGGUGAGGGCGGUCACUAGUGAAGCAACGGAGAUACAUUUCAAUAGUUCGGUUGACAACCUCAGUUUGUCCGUUACUUUGGGAAUGAUAAGCCGAG
rnacentral:misc_RNA from 1 species